rnacentral:rRNA from 1 species
CCUACGGGUGGCAGCAGUGGGGAAUAUUGGUCAAUGGAGGAAACUCUGACCCAGCAACGCCGCGUGAAUGAUGAAGGUCUUCGGAUUGUAAAGUUCUUUUCUAAGGGAAGAAGAAAGUGACGGUACCUUAGGAAUAAGCCUCGGCUAACUACGUGCCAGCAGCCGCGGUAAUACGUAGGAGGCGAGCGUUAUCCGGAUUGACUGGGCGUAAAGGGUGCGUAGGUGGUUUGACAAGUUGGUAGCGUAACCCCGAGGCUCAACCUCGGCCCUACUACCAAAACUGUCGGACUUGAGUGCAGGAGGGGCAAUUGGAAUUCCUAGUGUAGCGGUGGAAUGCGCAGAUAUUAGGAGGAACACCAGUGGCGAAGGCGAAUGGCUGGACGGUAACUGACACUGAGGCACGAAAGCGUGGGGAGCAAACAGGAUUAGAUACCCCUGUAGUC